rnacentral:rRNA from 1 species
UACGUAGGGGGCAAGCGUUGUCCGGAUUUAUUGGGCGUAAAGAGCGUGUAGGCGGCCGUGCAGGUCCGUUGUGAAAACUCGAGGCUCAACCUCGAGACGCCGAUGGAAACCAUCUGGCUAGAGUCCGGAAGAGGAGAGUGGAAUUCCCGGUGUAGCGGUGAAAUGCGCAGAUAUCGGGAAGAACACCCGUGGCUAAGGCGGCUCUCUAGUACGGUACUGACGCUGAGACGCGAAAGCGUGGGGAGCGAACAGG